GACGAACCGUGCAAACGUUGUUCGGAAUCACUGGGCUUAAAGGGCGCGUAGGCGGUCGACCAAGUCCGGGGUGAAAUCUUUCGGCUUAACCGGAAAAGUGCCUUGGAUACUGGCCGGCUGGAGGGAGGUAGGGGCAGGUGGAACUUCCAGUGGAGCGGUGAAAUGCGUUGAUAUUGGAAGAAACGCCGGUGGCGAAAGCGACCUGCUGGACCUCUUCUGACGCUGAGGCGCGAAAGCUAGGGGAGCAAACGGG
rnacentral:rRNA from 1 species